UCCCAAGAAAGUCCCAAGAAAGUAGCUUCAAAUCAAAUCGCAAAUAGAAGACAACUGUUCCGGACCAACUGGCUGGAAAGUCCAAACCUGAGGAAGGCGCGAGAAGAGGACAGAUGA
rnacentral:rRNA from 1 species